GAGAGUUUGAAACUUGGUGGAUAGAGAAGAUACUAUGGAGACGUGUUUUACUCUCAGCAUUUGGAUAUUCAACCUCCUAGGUGCUGCGCUGGGAGACUCGGUUCAGUCCAAUGAACCCGAAGUGUCUGAAUCAGUUAGAGGUUCUGUGACACUGAGCUGUUCUUACACCACCAGCGCUGCCUAUGCCUAUCUUUUCUGGUACCGCCAGUAUCCUAACCAAGCCCUGCAGUACAUUCUCUGGAAGGGAGCGAAGUCCGCCAACGGUACCAGCCACACUGAAGAUUUCGCCCAGCAGAGGUUUUCGUCCCAGGCCGAUGACAGCUCUACAGUUCUGAGCAUCACCUCCCUGGAGCCGGCAGACACAGCGGUGUAUCUCUGCGGCUUGCAGAGAGCACCGUGA